rnacentral:rRNA from 1 species
UGGGGAAUAUUUCACAAUGGGCGCAAGCCUGAUGCAGCCAUGCCGCGUGUAUGAAGAAGGCCUUCGGGUUGUAAAGUACUUUUAGCGGGGAGGAAGGGAGUAAAGUUAAUACCUUUGCUCAUUGACGUUACCCGCAGAAGAAGCACCGGCUAACUCCGUGCCAGCAGCCGCGGUAAUACGGAGGGUGCAAGCGUUAAUCGGAAUUACUGGGCGUAAAGCGCACGCAGGCGGUUUGUUAAGUCAGAUGUGAAAUCCCCGGGCUCAACCUGGGAACUGCAUCUGAUACUGGCAAGCUUGAGUCUCGUAGAGGGGGGUAGAAUUACAGGUGUAGCGGUGAAAUGCGUAGAGAUAUAGAGGAAUACCGGUGGCGAAGGCGGCCCCCUGGACGAAGACUGACGCUCAGGUGCGAAAGCGUGGGGAGCAAACAGG